rnacentral:rRNA from 1 species
AGCGAACGCCGGCGGCAUGCUUAACACAUGCAAGUCGCACGGGCAGCAAUGUCAGUGGCGGACGGGUGAGUAACGCGUAGGAACGUGUCCUGAGGUGGGGGACAACCCCGGGAAACUGGGGCUAAUACCGCAUAUGGGCUGAGGCCCAAAGCCGAGAGGCGCCUUUGGAGCGGCCUGCGUCCGAUUAGGUAGUUGGUGGGGUAAAGGCCUACCAAGCCUGCGAUCGGUAGCUGGUCUGAGAGGACGACCAGCCACACUGGGACUGAGACACGGCCCAGACUCCUACGGGAGGCAGCAGUGGGGAAUAUUGGACAAUGGGCGAAAGCCUGAUCCAGCAAUGCCGCGUGGGUGAAGAAGGUCUUCGGAUCGUAAAGCCCUUUCGACGGGGACGAUGAUGACGGUACCCGUAGAAGAAGCCCCGGCUAACUUCGUG